ACCCUGGUAGUCCCGCUGUAAACGCUGUCGAUUUGGGGGUUGGGGUUUAACUCUGGCGCCCGUAGCUAACGUGAUAAAUCGACCGCCUGGGGAGUACGGCCGCAAGGUUAAAACUCAAAUGAAUUGACGGGGGCCCGCACAAGCGGUGGAGCAUGUGGUUUAAUUCGAUGCAACGCGAAGAACCUUACCUACUCUUGACAUCCUAAGAAGUUUGCAGAGAUGCGAAUGUGCCUUCGGGAACUUAGAGACAGGUGCUGCAUGGCUGUCGUCAGCUCGUGUUGUGAAAUGUUGGGUUAAGUCCCGCAACGAGCGCAACCCUUAUCCUUUGUUGCCAGCGAUACGGUCGGGAACUCAAAGGAGACUGCCAGUGAUAAACUGGAGGAAGGUGGGGAUGACGUCAAGUCAUCAUGGCCCUUACGAGUAGGGCUACACACGUGCUACAUGGCGUAUACAGAGGGAAGCGAAGCUGCGAGGUGGAGCGAAUCUCAUAAAGUACGUCUAAGUCCGGAUUGGAGUCUGCACU
rnacentral:rRNA from 1 species